UGUGGUCCGGGCUGCUGUGUUCCAGCCUUCCCAAGGCUCCUGGUGUCCCAGAAACCCAGGAAAUCGAUGCUCGGGACUCCCAGAGAGGAUGGCAUCUUGAAGCUCUUAUCAGGACGUGAUAGCCUAUUACAUACAACCUGUAUGCAUCUGCUUGUUGUUCACUUCCCCCACUAGAAGACACAGAGCUCCUCGAGGGCAGGGAGGACUGAAACUUCUCCCUGAGAUUGUCACCAUCACCUAGCACCCCACACAGUAGAUGCUCAAUAAAUGACCAUUAUAUGGGUAAAUAGAUAAACAAAUGAGUCGUUUGGAGUUUCCCUGCCUAGAGAUCUUCAAAGGAGAGCAGAUAACCAACUCUUCUGUCUAGUCCAAAGACAUUAUUCGUCUGCCCAAAGGCUGAGGGCUGUGCCCAACGCUUUCUCAAGGUAACUCAGCUUCUAUAAUUAGAUUAUACCAAGAUACCAGUUCAAGGUUCUUUUCUCUUAUUGGCUAAGCAUUUAUUGACUACCGGCCAUGUCCAAGGUACUGAGCCAUUGUUCUCUAAAUCUAUUAGAGAUCCUAUUCUAUUAUUUAAUUGUAUGACUCCAUGUUGACAUAAAAUGCAAUAGCGUCCCCACCGCAGUCACUCGUAGGUGAGGUCGGUCAAGGCAGAUGGGGAAGAAUCAGCAUCGUCUAAUCUAAAUGGAUAAGCUAGCACAGUGGGUUCCCCUGUGUUAAUAUUCCAGACCAUCCAGUCCCACUCAGCCUCCUCCCAGCUAAUA